UACGUAGGUGGCAAGCGUUGUCCGGAUUUACUGGGCGUAAAGGGCGUGCAGGCGGUUUGUUAAGUCUAGGGUGAAAGCUCCCGGCUCAACUGGGAGAGGUCCUUGGAUACUGGCAAACUUGAGGGAGGUAGAGGAGAGUGGAAUUCCCGGUGUAGUGGUGAUAUGCGUAGAUAUCGGGAGGAACACCAGUGGCGAAGGCGGCUCUCUGGGCCGAAACUGACGCUGAGGAGCGAAAGCAUGGGUAGCAAACAGG
rnacentral:rRNA from 1 species